AAAGCAGUCAAAUAACGUUUGAGUAGAUUAGAAAUGGUAGCAAUGAAAAGCAAGUUGAUCCAACCUUUACUCGAACAAAAGCAAAAAGCAAGGUAGCGAAGAAGAGCACUUGAAUGUUUAUCGAAAUAUUAAUGUAUUUAGAGUAGCAAGAGAGCAAUGACAAUGAAGAGUGAUGAGAACUUGUGAUUUUGAGAGUGAAUGAGUGUAUGUAUUGUUGAGUUGAUCAAUUCCUCUCCUUAAACAAAUAAAAGGGGUCUUAUUUAUAUAGCAAAGAGGGGUGCACUUAAUAAGGAA
rnacentral:misc_RNA from 1 species